rnacentral:rRNA from 1 species
UACAUAGGUCUCAAGCGUUAUCCGGAGUUACUGGGCGUAAAGCGUCCGUAGCCGGUAUUGUAAGUCUGUCUUUAAAUUCUUUGACUUAAUCAGAGGCAAGGGAUGGAUACUGCAAUGCUAGAGGUUUUUAGAGGUUAGUGGAAUUCCCGGUGUAGAGGUGAAAUUCGUUGAUAUCGGGAGGAACGCCAAAAGCGAAAGCAGCUAACUAUAAAAGUCCUGACGGUAAGGGACGAAAGCUUGGGUAGCAAAUGGG